rnacentral:rRNA from 1 species
CCUACGGGAGGCAGCAGUGGGGAAUCUUGCGCAAUGGGCGAAAGCCUGACGCAGCAACGCCGCGUGCGGGAUGACGGCCUUCGUGGUUGUAAACCGCUUUCAGCAGGGACGAAAAUGACGGUCCUGCAGAAGAAGCCCCGGCUAACUACGUGC